UCGAAAUUUGUUGCUGUAUAAAUACAGCGAUGUAAAUAUAAUAAUUAUUAUUGUACUAUAGACAAUACCAGAUAUCGGACGGACAAAGUUACUAAUAUUGUCAUAUUAAAUCAAUAAAAAUGUCAGUAAAACUUUUAAUUUUCUUUAUCAUUGGAUUGGCCAUGAUUGUAAAUAUUCAAUGUUACCAUCCCAUGGGUCGUUCAUCUGAUUCUUGUAGAGAUUUAAAUCAAGGAUGCAACCAUGUUCACCGUUGCUGCAGCGGUUACACUUGUUCUUACUAUAGUUGGUAUGCUGGAAACAUAUGCCAAGAAUUAUAGAAGAUAAAUGGCAAUUCUAUUAAUUAUUUUCGUUUAAAGAUUUUUACUACUAAUGAAAAUUGUCAAAUAUUUUUCCAAAAUAAAAAAUAUAUAAAAAACUAA